UGUGUGUGUGUGUGUGUGUGUGUGUGUGUGUGUGUGUGUGUGUGUGUGUGACGCGGAGAUCUCUGAUGCCAGGCUGGUGGAGGAUUCACAGUGAAAUCCCCCCAGACUGACCACUAAUUGGAUUCUUGGUCAGAGAGGGAGAGAGCAAAUAAGAGAGAAAGCGACACGCAGAGAGAGAGAGAGAGAGAUUAGGGUGGUGACUUCAUCAGAGUUAGAGAGAACCACAGUGCCAUCUACUGGUCCAAACUGAGAUUACAGUAAAAUAAAUGUACUGCUAGGCUCAACUUUACUUGCAUUUUGCUCACCUCUCCCUACUGUAAUAAUGAUUUUAUUUAUGUUGUAGCAUAUUUAUAAAAAAUCCUACAAACAUUAUGGUUCUUAAGUAAAAGAUCUAAAAAAGGAAUCCACUAGUUUCUAUUCAUCUAUUCGUUUCAGGGUCUGUAAUUUACGGUGGCCGGCAGGUGCAAACGCGGAACAACGGCCAAAAACACAUACAUUAGCAGGAAACAACUGCAAAUCCUGAAAUGAAAAACAAACAAAUCCGGAGAACAAAUACAACCAAAAAACGCUGCAUUUACAGAAAUGAUGCAAACUAAAUACAACACACAAACCCCGAAAACAAACGCAACAAAAAAACGCUGGAAAUACCAAAACGAUAUGCAAAGUCCAAAGCACAUACAAAAAAAAAACAUUCCGGAAGUGCUCCAGGCCUCUAGGGGGGGCGCUACGUGGAAUAGAUUGAUGUCUGACCAGACAUAGAGGGAACGAACAAGAGUGCUGCAAAUUGAAGCCGGAGGAAACAAAGUUGAUCGAAGUGGAAAAAGUCGAUAUAUAAGAAGGUAAGUUUUGUUUUGAUACAAAGAGCGUCAUAUUUACCCAGCUAGCGUUAGCUUGUUUGGUAAAAGAGCUUGCAAGUCAAGAGACAGCAUUGUGCACCUAAAUGUAACUCUUGACAUCAUAUAGAUAUAUUAUAGGUGCAGAGAGGAGUUGGUUUAUUGUGCCCCAAUGUAAAUCCUAAUGUGAGAGUUAAAGGACGGUCAACAAUAUAAUGUACCUUGGUCAGUUUGGAUUUAUCGUGGCAUUUAUUCUUAAUUAAAGUGAAUUUAUUUUAUUUCAGUCAGUCAUUUGUGUGUUGUAUGCAGGUGUGGGACAUUCCAAAUGUUCCAAAAGUGAGCACUCCACGAAUGGACAACAGUUUGCAGGUAAAAUAAAACAUUGUCAACAUAUUAUUUUGUGCCACAAGAAGCAGAAUGUUUUAACAGUACAGUAGUUUGAAUAUAUUUGUUGUUUACCUUUAUCAGACCUCUCAGGCACUCACAACCAGCGUCUGAUCGGGUAACACUAAUCCAAAAUGUAAUUAUACCAUGUAGGUUUGAAUUUGUGAACAUGAAAUCAAUAAAUACCUUUGUGUGCACUUAUUUCCUGGGUAAAAAUAGGAUGGAGAACCAACCCCAUUCCAGGAAGAGGUCCAGUCUGCCCGGGUCAGAACCACUUCUAUAGCACAGAUUACCUGACUGCGGCACACAUUGUUGCAGAACUCUCUGCAAAAAGAACAAAUACAUCUUGCAGCAGGUUCAAUAUUAAUAGAGCCAGUGUGUGCGAUGGAGCAAUCCGCGGCUUCAAAGGUGCCUCAUUCGAUCCCUCUCAUGAGAUGUCAGUUAAGUUCACUGAUGAUGAGGGACACACUGAGGAUGGAGGGGACACUGGUGGUCCCAAGCGUGAGUUCCUGACCCUCCUUAUGGAAUGCCUGAGAAUGCGAAGAAAACAUCACGUCAGCAACUGUUUGUGCCCCAUGGCGGCGUGACUUUCCAGCCGCUCACUGUCUCAAAAUCUGAUUCUAAAUGUAUAAUGUUCUCUAUAAAGAUAGAACUAAUACACAAUUAUGAAUGUAUAAUAUAAGCUGUUUUGUGUAUUUAAUCAUGCAUUGGUCUACAAUUGAAUGAUGGCUUCUACAUAUUUCACAUAAACAGACAAUGAAAAAAUGUGUCCUUCAUGCUGAUAACUAGUGUAUGUAUCUGCCAAUUAGUAUUCUAAACAGAGUAGUGUGUUGAAUCCUUAUGUCUUGCAUUUGAAACAGAUACAAUAAAAAAAGUGAACUUA